CGGCGGACGGGUAAGUAAUGUAUGGGGAUCUGCCUGAUGGCGGGGGAUAACUACUGGAAACGGUAGCUAAUACCGCAUAAUGUCUACGGACCAAAGCGGGGGACCUCCGGGCCUCGCGCCAUCAGAUGAACCCAUAUGGGAUUAGCUAGUAGGUAAGGUAACGGCUUACCUAGGCGACGAUCCCUAGCUGGUCUGAGAGGAUGAUCAGCCACACUGGGACUGAGACACGGCCCAG
rnacentral:rRNA from 1 species